rnacentral:lncRNA from 1 species
GCGACAGUGACAGUGCUGUGGUCAUGGUGUGGCGGGAUAACCAGUGAGGUAUGGAGAUACAGCAGAGGGCCCCUCAACUUCAGCCUGCCCCGGGGAACUAGGAAUCAUUCUGGGCUUUGCCAGGCCUGAACUCUCUGAGGCAGAUGGAAUUCUCCUUGAAGGCUCACCAGGAGUAGGAACCAGAAAGCUUGUUCUGCUAAACCUGGAAGAUCAGCACCAUGAGACGGGGAAGGUGGAUGGAGGGGUGAUUUGUCUAAAGUGCCAAAAAAAGGCUUUGUUCUGCUCAUAGUUUGAAAAAAAAAAUGUGUCCAUUGCU